AUUGAACGCUGGCGGCAUGCUUUACACAUGCAAGUCGAACGGUAACAGGCCGCAAGGUGCUGACGAGUGGUGAACGGGUGAGUAAUGCAUCGGAACGUGCCCAGUCGUGGGGGAUAACUACUCGAAAGAGUAGCUAAUACCGCAUACGAUCUAUGGAUGAAAGCGGGGGACCGUAAGGCCUCGCGCGAUUGGAGCGGCCGAUGUCAGAUUAGGUAGUUGGUGGGGUAAAGGCUCACCAAGCCAACGAUCUGUAGCUGGUCUGAGAGGACAACCAGCCACACUGGGACUGAGACACGGCCCAGACUCCUACGGGAGGCAGCAGUGGGGAAUUUUGGACAAUGGGCGCAAGCCUGAUCCAGCAAUGCCGCGUGCAGGAAGAAGGCCUUCGGGUUGUAAACUGCUUUUGUACGGAACGAAACGGCUCUGGUUAAUACCCGGGGCUAAUGACGGUACCGUAAGAAUAAGCACCGGCUAACUACGUG
rnacentral:rRNA from 1 species